rnacentral:rRNA from 1 species
AUGGCGGACCGGCGCACGGGUGCGUAACGCGUAUGCAACCUACCUGUAACAGGGGGAGUAACACUGAGAAAUCGGUACUAAUACCGCAUAACACUAUGAGAGGGCAUCUCUUGUGGUUGAAAGUUUCGGCGGUUACAGAUGGGCAUGCGUUGUAUUAGCUGGUUGGUAAGGUAACGGCUUACCAAGGCGACGAUACAUAGGGGGACUGAGAGGUUAACCCCCCCACAUUGGUACUGAGACACGGACCAAACUCCUACGGAAGGCAGCAG